ACAAGGCAGCCCAAUCAUACUACCACUCCCAUGAGUCACUGAAGCAGCUCAACCUUAGGGGCACUGAAUCCUGCACAGAGAAGAGAAAGGGAUGCAUAAGACUGUGAACUUUUCAAGACAGGGAUCAUCUUCGAGUCCUGUACAUGUAGCACAUCAUUACUAUUAGUAACUUAACAAUGGAGCACAGAGAGGACUUAAAGUGCAUUUCAUUGGUUGCCUGUGUUUUGCAGGCUGUGACAAUCUUCCUGGAGAAGAACUGAGGCAUUGGAGAAUAUUGGUAAUAUGGCCAUGAUGGCAUGAGGCUGGUAUCCAGACAGUAGAAUGUUAGACUUAAGGGAUAGGCCAUGUCAGUACCCAAAGUUAAUGGGCAAAAGAUGCGGAAAGCAAUGUUCAAUGAGACUUUGGAGAGGCAGUGUCAUCAGGAAGAACUGAUUAUUCGCCAGUGCUUCCUUAAGAGAUUUAGUAGUGAGCAUUCUGGAAUAUGAUGGGUAGCAUCUUACACUUUGUCCACACUGCGGAUAUUUUAGCAAAAUUUGACCACCAUUGCUAACAUUAGUACACCUUAACUGAUGGGAAUAAUUAUUGGAGUACUAAUGUAGACCAGGAUUUUUAACACUGUGCCAUGUAUCUGAGUUAAGUGACACAGUAUUGAGAAUACCACCAGCUGCAGGAACCUGAUCUACACUAGUAUUCCCUUUGUUACUACUGCUGAUGGAGCUCCACAGGUGUGAGGAGAUUUUUGCCACACCGUAUGAGCAGGCAGGGUGAUAACUAAGUAAAGAAGCUGGCACCAUACAUUAGCAGAGCAUAUGGAGCCAAACCAGGGCAGAUUUGCCAAAUAGAUCAGAAAAGGGGAUUAGUCUAGUUAUAGGUUAUAUUAUUGUGUGAUGAUCCCUCUGUUAGAUACCAACUUGAAGUUUAAUCAAACCUUUCUUUCCCUUACAGUAUCAAAUUUUUUAUUUUAAGUACAUACUUCUUGUUUCCAAUAACAAGUCCAUAUGUAAGUGAGGGUGACAUUGAAUUGGUAUUUGUACCACAACACAAAAAAGUUAAGCCUUUUUUUUAUGUGCUGGGCCAGAUUCUGAUCUCAGUAAACCACUCAAGUCAAUAACUCCAGGUUUUUAAUGGCACUCAGAAUCCAGCCUGCUGUGGCUCAAGGUUGUAGUUUCAACCUUUAUAGAAACCCAGCUGGGGAGAUGGUCUUGUAAUUAAAGCACUGGACUGGGAGGCAAGGGCUAGAUUCCAGCAUUUCUGUGCCAUUCUUUUGAUGCAUAAGGGCCCAUUAAGCAGUUUCACUAAAUGGGUAGAUCGGGAGUCCUCCAAUGUGGGGAAAUCCCAGCUGGCAUAGAGAAGUGUUUUGCUGUCAAGUUGACCCCUCUGGUGGCAUAACAGUCUUAGAAUAGGAGCCAUUUCCAGCAGGCACUAUGGCUUCAGGGGCAGGAUGUUUACGCCAGUGCCCAGUCCAACACUGCUUCACUAAUUAAAAUAGGGCUGUGGAAGAUCUACUGCUAAAAGAACAGCAGGUUGGUUGUGUAGUCACUGCACUGCACUGCUGCUAUCUAACUUACUGUGCACGUGACACACUUCUAGUACUUUGAUUACAAAGGCUCUGUAGCCCUCCUAUACAAUCUUAAUGGACAGGGAACAGUGUAGUGAAAUUGUGUCUUCUAACAGGAGUAUGUUUCUGGGUGAGUUUCAGUUUUAAUAAACGGGUGAGCUAAUCAAUGAAAAAUGAAAACUGGCAUUCACUGACCCUUUAUUUUCACUAAGAAGUUGGAAUCAGGACAAGAGAGAAAUGGUUUGGUUAGCAAGAAAGAAUCUUCCUAUUCCAGAAUCAGAUCUUCCUCUGAUAUCUCAGCCCCUCCUCUGAAUAAUAAUACUGAAGAGUUAUUAGUUAAUCAAUAAACCAUGGUGCAGGGCAUGGUUAUCAUACAAUAAUCACACCCUAGGGUAUUCUUAGGCCCAAACCACAUAUUUCUAAUCAGAAUGGGGGUGAGAUUAUCCUUUGAUAACCACACCCUUGGGAACUUUCUCAUUUCUGUUAUGAGACUAUUUUAUGGUAGGGGAAAAUGUGUGUUUCUUCUAGAGAAAGAUGAAACUGGUAGUUUAAAACUAGCAGCUAUUUCUGCUGAGCUGAAAUAUUAGCCUUCCCAUUUAGAAUGCUCAAAGUCAAACAGAAUCCUUCCCCCUAGCACAAAUGGCUUCUAAACAAAAGCAUGUAUAAGAGACAUGAUUGGGAUGCAGUUUAGCUUAAUACAGAUGCACAGACGAGAAUUAAAUGCAAAAUAACAAGAAAAGGCAGCAGUAGGUUUUCAGUGGUGCUUCAAAACAAAGAAAGCCACAGCCCUUUCUGAAAAAAAAUAGGGUGUUGUCUGCUCGCCAAAAAAGUCAGUUCUUGCUUUCCUACCAAAAUAAGGAAGGCCAGCAAUGUAUGGACUGUUUGUGAUUCCCAUGGGAACCUAACAGCUACACAUUCUGGUCUCUUAGUUGCAGUUUCUGGUUUAUUUUCUUAACAAGGGAUAUUUUUAAAACUAGGACUAUUUAAAAAAUAGAUAGUGUUUUUUUGAAAAGUGGACAAUAAAUAAUUGAAGUGAGGCACAAAUACACUUUUUAAAAUAAUAAUGGUGAUAAUCACAGCUAAAAUUGUAGGACAUUUUCAUAAUAUUCACCCACAUUUCUUCCUGUUGUAAAAUGAAUUCACUCCAGCUAGGCUUUUGAACUUUUUGGGUUACUUUCUGUGAACUUCCAUGUAAAAAUUUCCAUUUUUACUGGCACGAAUGUUUAGGGAAAGCGCAUCUUAAACUGCAUGCAAAAAUAAUGGCAAAAAGUUAAUUUUAAAUGUGCAUUUACACAUCUGUUCCAGAAAUGCUUAUGCUUUCAUUCAACCCAUGUUCAGAUAUUGCAGCAUUCAGUAAAUGAGGGUUGGAUUUUUGUUACAUUCUACCAAGGAGAUGCUUCUAAACAAACACGAGGAGCCUGAUGAUUGCAGCAGCUGUGUGUUUGUAACUCCCAAUGAAACCAGUCCCUGAGCUUUCUUUAUAUUGAUGAAGAAAGAGCUGAAGGAGAUUCCCUUCUCAGUCUCAACUGAAGGCAAGGGCCAGUUUUCAAAAGAAACCGCAACAGGCCUACGUGCAAAAAUGUUUGAGCCCUUUUUUGCUUUAGUUCAUGAACGUGUUAUUGCAAAAGUGUCCAUUGUGGGUUUUUACAACUGAAGUACAAGGUUCUGAACAUGGUAGAAGACAAUAUUCUGAAACUCCCAAUGACUUGAAUGGAGGUUUGGUAUGUAUAUAAUGUUCUGACUACUUGUUCUGUUUAUGGGAUAAUAAAAGACCAAUGUGACAGACUGACUCAGCUGAUGUGCAUUGUCUUCUGAGGCAACAGUUUAAGCUGGUAUUCUUUAAGGGGUUAAUAUUUUUAAAUUGCAGGAGUAUCUGGAAAAUCACAAGUCUGAAAAAAGUGCACAUCUUCCUAGUCAUUUAAAGAUCAUCACUGGAUAAUGCAGAACCUGAGCUAAAGGCUACUGAUACUAGGGAAAGCCUUGCCCUUACCGUUAAAGGCUCUUUUUGGUAGGGCCUUCAGUAUCUAAACAAAUAAGCACAAAGUCCAUGCUGUGCCACUUGGGAGGCAGGAUACAGAGAGUGCAGCCCACAGCACGGGAAAACCAAACACACUAAUAUACUAUCCUGGCAUGUACCUAAUUCUGGAGUACUCCAGGGACUGGCACAAAGGCUGACAUGAUCAUGAGAAGCCCCUGGAGCUGCAAAGUGUAGGGCAGCUUUGCAUGUCUGUCUACAGACUAGAGUCACAACCUUGAUUAGCUGGAGUGACUUGUGCUCUGCCCAUUCCUCUCUUGCCCCAGUAAGCCCUUGCAAAGGGGGGCAGCUUAUGUGAAGACUCCCUGUUGAACAUACACAAUAAUUAUUCAUAAUGGAUUUUAUUAUAUUCAGUUCUAGCAUGUAAUAAAGACAAAUAGAUACAAGGGACUAGAAUAAGGGUGGCUUCAACAUUUUAUACAAAUAAAUAUGGUGUAAUCAAUCACAAGAUUAACACAAUAGUUAUUGCAAAUGCCUAAGUUUCAAAAGAUGGUGUAUUUUCAAACCAUUAUGAAACCUGAUUUUAUAGUGCACUUGUGGAUAGUUGUUGCAAUGACACCAUGCAUCUCUAGAAAUUAAUGUACUUAAAAAGGAGAUAGGAUGAGGGGCAGGCAAGGUAAGGCCUAUGGGCCGGAUCUGGCUCACCAAGCCAUUGGAUCUACCCCAUGGUCAGCCCUGCUGGAACCCUCAGGUACGGAGCAGCCCCCUGCAACUGUCUACUCCCUGAGGCUUGUGGGGUGAAGCAGGUGGCUUUGUGGGUGCUAAAGUUUCUCUCUCAUCCCCCAAAAUCUCUCAGCUUGGAAACUGGCCAAUGGAGGUGGUGAGAGACUUUGCUAGCAGGCUGGAGCAGCAGGAUGAAGCCUUCCCCUCCUCUCAGAGCAGGGAGCAGCCAGCCAUUUUGAGCAGCCCUGGCGAAGGCAGGAAGUCUGGCUCGGGCUCCUGCAGGACUGCUAGCUGUGUGCCAUCUAGAGCUACCUCCAGGAUGUUAGAAAGUGAGCUGCUGAUUCUCCCAGGGCAUAAUAAAAUGCAAGAGAAGACUGAAACAUCUGCAAGAAUGUUAUUUAAGAGGCAUCAUCAUCACACACAUGCACACUGCAUAUGUGCAGUCUGAACAGGUGAACUUCCUUGCUUUUGGAAAAGAGAGUGACUGUGUGGAAAAAAGACAGGGCAUGGGGAAAGCUGUUCUCAGCAAGAUCACUGAUGUAUUUAUUCAAUUUAUUUCUUUUGAUUUCUAUAGGGCAUAAGACAGACUCGAAUAUCACAAUUAAUUUAAUCACUCUUUCAACGCAAAAUGUACCAUUCAUUUAAUAAUAGUAAACGAGACUAGGCUAUAACAGAAUAGAGGUUUCACUGAAGCAUAGAUGGGAAGUAGUAAGAGCAUGGCUCAUUAGAAUACUCUUUCUAUAUCUGGCCUGAAAUGAAUAAUUGAAAUUCAUACAGACAUUUACAAACAAAGUGGUGCCAUCAUUAAAGUGACUCAUACUGAUGGAUAACUGUGCCCUGCAUUCAUAUAUCAUAAAUCCUUGCUUCACUUACUGGUACUUCUUUCCUAGAGGCAAACACACAAACCAAGUGUGCAUAUUAAAUUUUUUCUCUUUCACUUGCCUAGGUUCUGCUACAUAAUCUCAAUACAAAUACUUUUAAUUUCUAAAUGUAAUGAACAGAUCCUCUUGUAUUUGAAUAAAAUCCUUCUGCAUGUCACAUUCUUGUAUUAAGAAUUGCUAUCAGAGCUGUUUGGAUAGUGUCAAGUAGUUCUUAGAAUCACCCUAGAAGCACAUUGUCAUUCUGGAGACAGGCAUGCAUAGCAAAUCUUAAAAACAAUACAGAAACAAAUACAGCAUAGAAGAGGGAAUUUAAAACUAUGUUCAUGUAAACAAGGAGAAAACCUUUUUGGUAGCAUGAGGAGCAAGUCUAAUCUAGAUGUGAAGAUUCUAUAGAAUAAAGUCAUUUCACUUUUGGAGAAAAAGGCUGGUUAAAAUGUACUCUCCUGCUGUGACUUUGUACAGUGCUUUGUAAUCUGAUACAUUUGUACUGUUCUUGGUUAACUGAGGCCUGGUGUACACUGGCAAGGUUUUUUUUUUUUACUAAAAGUCAGCUUUUUGCACUGAAAAGGAGGUGUCCACACAAUUUGUACACUGAAACUCCUCCAUUUAAUGCUGCAAUAAGAACACCCUGAUGAGAAUCAUAAGGAUUUAGCCCCAUGGUGCCACUACAGAGAUUGUGCUUGAUUUUAGCACUGUUAUUGGUGUCCAGGCAGUGUCCCACAAUGCCCAUCCUGACCCUGGUGCUAAACAACUUUCUGACCCUGCUCCUUUAAAGCCCUGGGGAAUUCUGAAAUUCCCCUUCCUAUUUGCUCAGGGUGCAGAGCCCACAUCCCCUGGUGGCUCCAUGCAGCAGAUGAUCUCCUGCUUGGUCCACUACAGAGCUACUUAAUCUGGUAAGUGUUUGGGGAGAGUAGGUUGUCCAAUCCCUGCUGUGCUCAAGCCAUAAGAAUACAUGAUACCUAUAGCUAGAUUGCAGAGCAAAGAUGAAGGAACUAAGGAAUGCGUACAAGGCAGGGGAGCCAAAUCAAUGCUCUGAGGCUGCACCCCAGAUGUCCUCUCUUUAUAAGGAGUUGGACCCUAUCCUAGGUAAUGAUCCCACUUCCACUGCAAAGAGCACCAUGGACAAUUACAAUGGGUCUGGAGUCUGUUGAAAUUGUACAUAACCUAAAAGAGGAAGUUAUUGAGCAGGAGGCUGAAGAUACGGUAUUCUGUGAUGCAUCCCAGUCAGGAGCUGUUCUCUAGUCCAGAAAUGUCUAGCCAGUCUCUACAGUUGCUCUCUCAUGAGCCUCUGGUAAGUGGUUUUUCUUUGGGAAGUUCUGAAGUGGGUUGAAGGCAAACACAUGUAGAAGACUGAUUUUGGUUGUGUGUGCUGAACAUUUCCCCAUGCAGCUAGGCAGUAAAGCGAAAGAGAGAGUUGAUGCACUCCAGAAUAGGGAGUUCAUGGGAAUCCUCCAGAGAUCUCUCUAGGAAACUUUCCUGGAGGUACUCAGCCAUCCUCUGCUGGAGGUUCCUUGGUAGAGCUGCUUUAUCCUUUAUCCACUGAGAGACACUCUCCCAGAGACACUUUCCCACACCACAUUGCAAUAACUUGGGUAAGGCCCAAAACUGCACACAGGCAAGCAACAUGAGAACCAGGGUGGAAGCUGCAAACGUGUAGCAGAUACAGCCUUGCUUCUCUGCUUAGCCUCAGGUGUAAAGUAUCUUCCAUAGCCUCCACAGCCUCUGGAAAAUAGUGGGAAAGUUUAGAGCAUUGAAGCUCCCACCCCAUUUCAGAUUGUUUUAGUGCAAUAAACAAGGCCCCUACCCAUGGG